GCUGGGCAUGGUGGUGCAUGUCUGUAAUCCCAGCUACUUGGGAGGCUGAGGCAGGGGAAUCACUUGAACCCGGGAGGCGGAGGUUGCAGUGAGCUGAGAUCACACCACUGCACUCCAGCAUGGGUGACAGAGUAAGACCCUGUCUCAA
rnacentral:SRP_RNA from 1 species